rnacentral:rRNA from 1 species
UACGGAGGGUGCAAGCGUUAAUCGGAAUUACUGGGCGUAAAGCGUGCGCAGGCGGUUCGUUGUGUCGGCGGUGAAAGCCCCGGGCUUAACCUGGGAAUGGCCGUUGAAACUGGCGAACUGGAGUGUGGCAGAGGGGGGUGGAAUUCCGCGUGUAGCAGUGAAAUGCGUAGAGAUGCGGAGGAACACCGAUGGCGAAGGCAGCCCCCUGGGCUAACACUGACGCCUCAGGCACGAAAGCGUGGGGAGCAAACAGG